CCUGAUUUCAAACGGUGGAUAGA
rnacentral:miRNA from 1 species